UACAGAGGUGGCGAGCGUUGUUCGGAUUUACUGGGCGUAAAGGGCGCGUAGGCGGCGGCGUAUGCCGGGUGUGAAAUCCGUGGGCUCAACCCACGAAGUGCGCCCGGAACUGCGUCGCUCGAGGUCGGGAGGGGAGAGCGGAAUGCAGGGUGUAGCGGUGAAAUGCGUUGAUAUCCUGCAGAACACCGGUGGCGAAGGCGGCUCUCUGGAACGAUUCUGACGCUGAGGCGCGAAAGCUGGGGGAGCAAACAGGAUUAGAUCCCCUGGUAGUCCCAGCCUUAAACGGUGCACACUUGGCGUGGCGGGAUUUCACCCCCGCCGUGCCGAAGCGAACGCGUUAAGUGUGCCGCCUGGGGAGUACGGCCGCAAGGCUA
rnacentral:rRNA from 1 species